UUCAAACAUCCGAGGAAAAGCCACAAACAACCACCAAUAUCUUCACACCCCACCUCUCUCUUUCUGCCUGUCAUUUCUAAGUUACGAUAGAAGCCACUGCAACUCUAAAAGCUCUUUAGAUGCACCCACGAAAAAACGCGGGAACUUUUGAGAGGUCACUUAACAAGAAAUGGCAACCGAAGUCACUCAGAGAACAGGUUGUAUAACAUCAUCCAGGGUUUCCUGCACAUAAAAGAGGAGUGAUAGUCAUGAGCAAAAUGCCUUCCAUCAUAGGUCUGCUCUCAGCCAGAGUUGGCCAUCGACUAUACGACAGUAACUCUACGCAUCCGCUUUCCGUCAUCCCUAAAUUGUCUCACGCACCAAAUUUUGCACUACUGAAACCCUUCUAUCCCGGAACUGUCACUUCAAGAAUUUCUUCUCUGUCUACGCUACAUUUAUUCCAGCUGCUGGUUUCGUUAAACGGUAGUUUGGUGGGAAAAGGAGGGGAGUCUACAAAGGUAACUUUAAAAAAACAGACUGGAGGAAGAGGCUGUGCCCUUGAUCCUUGAAAGCCCUCUAAGACAGGUGAAGUUAAUUCUUUUACUAUACCAUUUAAACUGUUGCAGGAAAUAAUGACUGAAUUGGAGAUUCUAGAGGGCUGAUGUUCUGAGGAAGAAAAGACCUGCAUAGUGGUCAGUUCAUGGCUGAAGAGUUUGGAUGCAAAAAGAGUGAUGGGAGGUGAAGAUACAAGUAGGUUGAAGUGCCUGAGUAGUGGAGGUAUGAGACCAGUCAGCUAUGAGGAACAGAGGCCAUUACGCUAAUGACAGCAAAAGCAGAAAGAAGAGAUGGCAUAUCUAUGGACCAGAAGAUGUAAUGUGUUCAUUAGUGAUUUAUUGGAAAUGUUAGAAGUAAGAGCAAUAGUGUGAUAUUAGACUGGGUUAGAAAAGUUAUUUUUCUUUUAAAUGGGAUUCACUGAAGUGUGCUUCCAAAAGUCGGGAUAGAAAGUAAGAGACUGAAAGAAAUUGCUGAAUAUGGGAUUAAGUUCUGGGGCACAUUACCCUAUUUCUAUUAAAACACACUGCCUUUGUUUCAAUCAAUUUUUUAAAAAAUAAAGAAUUUAAUAAAAUAACUUUAUCAUUAUUA